CGCUAACGGCCGGCCCCGCUCGGUGCGUUGCAGCCGGGAGCGCCUGGCACCGCGCUGACCGUCCGCCCGUGGAGCCGGCAGCGGAGGACGAGCGGCGGCACGACGAGGACCGGCACGACGACGACGACGACGAGGACGAGCGGAGCCUGCGGACGGCCCUCAAGAAGCUGCGGCUGGACGCGGCGCGGCGGCACGAGGACGAGGAGGAGCAGCAGCAGCAGCAGCAGGACGACGACGAGGACGAGGACGACGAGGACGAGGAGGAGCGCAGCCUGCGGACGGCCCUCCAGGAGCUGCGGGUGGACGCGGCGCGGCGGCACGAGGACGAGGAGGAGCAGCAGCAGCAGCAGCAGGACGACGACGAGGACGAGGACGACGAGGACGAGGAGGAGCGCAGCCUGCGGACGGCCCUCCAGGAGCUGCGGGUGGACGCGGCGCGGUGUGAGAGGACUGCAGGAGGACCGGCCGGUCUCUCACGGCACGGACGUUCCAGGUCUCCUGUCCUAUCCAUCUGUGAAACAGCCCUGUGCAGCCCUCCCGCAUCCCGUUCUGUGGAGGCUCACGCUUAUGUCAGUGACGUGACUGUGGAAGACCUGGCAGGGUACCUGGAACACCAUCUGCAUAUACCAAAGAAAAUGUCUGCCAUGGCAGAAAUGAUGUAUUCAUAACCAAACAGCAAAAACAGUCACAGUCCUAA
ensembl:lncRNA